AGGAUUAUAAUUUAAAAAAAAAUAUUUGAUUUGCAAUCAAAAAAUAUUGAAACUCAAUUUAUCUU
rnacentral:tRNA from 1 species